ACAGAUCCAGGGUCUGGUGAGAACCCACUUCCUGGCUUACUGAUGGCCAUCUUAUUGUUCCCUCCUCAGGUGGCAGAGAGCAGAGACCGGAAGCAAGCUGUGAAAUGGCUCUUAUAAAGGCACCAGCCCCAUUCCUGAGGCUCCACCCUCAUGACUUAAUUACCACCUCCUGAUAGCAUCACAUUGCAGAUUGGGCUUUCAACCUACGGCUUUUGAAGGGACAGAGACACUCAGUCCAUAAUGCCAUUCACCCCACCACGUGGGGGAGGUCAUGGAACUCAAGUGAAGGGGCAGCUGCCAGGCCUCAGAAGCCAGUGGAAACAGCAACUGGGAAGUUCGUUCUGUCAGUCAUUGUCCCUCUCCCUCUGUGGCUGCCUGGAUCCUAAUUCUGCUUCUCCUUGUACCUGAGCUUCAAGCAUCAUUCUCUGUAGCCUGGCUCUCUCUAUGGCGGAAGAAUAUCCUGCAGGUCUUGGACUCAUAUGCCUUUAGCUCAAGGGGCCCAUAGAGAGUGAUUAACUUCUCAGUCUCCAUUCUAAAUUCCUACCAUAAAAAACAAAACAAAAACCACAAUAACCUCAUGAUCCAGUUUAGCUCAAGCCUCUAUCAUGAAUCUCUUCAGCUACAGUCAGGAGAAAGAUCAGAUGCACAUGGAGUCUUGCUGGUCGCUGGUUCCCAUCAGGAAUCAAGAGGAGCACCGUGUCUGCCCAUCCAUGUAUCAAUUUUUAGCAUACUCCUUUUUCCUGAAUGAAUAUGCAAGACUGUCAAACAGGGAGAAACUGAUGUGCUCUGGUCUACAACACUCCACCUGCUGUGGACUGUGUCUACAUCUUUGGCUAAAUAUAUCAGAAACUCAAUCUAAUUUUGUGGUAAUUGUUUAUUGGUAGUUUCCUCCCGCUGAAUUCUGGGGCCACCUUACAUAAUACAUCUUUCAAUUCCUUUUUCCAUCCUGGGUUCUAUGCUGGGGCCAAACAAGCAUCAUGUUAAUACAGAUAGGCACUUUUCGGAGAAGAGUGAAAUAUUUG
rnacentral:lncRNA from 1 species